rnacentral:piRNA from 1 species
UGUGAUCAUCAAACCACAGGGCUGGGC